AGAAUCAACGCUGGCGGCGUGCCUAACACAUGCAAGUCGAACGAGAAAGUGGAGCAAUCCACGAGUAAAGUGGCGCACGGGUGAGUAACACGUGACUAACCUACCCUUGAGUGGGGAAUAACUGAGGGAAACCUUAGCUAAUACCGCAUAACACCUACGGGUCAAAGGAGCAAUUCGCUUAAGGAGGGGGUCGCGGCAGAUUAGUUAGUUGGCGGGGUAAUGGCCCACCAAGACUAUGAUCGGUA
rnacentral:rRNA from 1 species